rnacentral:lncRNA from 1 species
UCUAUGAGCGAGAACAUGUGGUGUUUGGUGUUUCAUCCUUGCGAUAGUUUACUGAGAAUGAUGAUUUCCAAUUUCAUCCAUGUCCCUACAAAGGACAUGAACUCAUCAUUUUUUAUGGCUGCAUAGUAUUCCAUGGUGUAUAUGUGCCACAUUUUCUUAAUCCAGUCUAUCAUUGUAGGACAUUGAAUAUUAAAUAUAUUUUCUCUCCCUUAAGAUUUUUAAAAUAACAUUUUCUUUCUCUAGCUUACUUUAUUGUAAGAAUAGAGUACAUAAUACAUAUAACGGAGGAAAUAUGUAUUAACUGACGGUUUAUGUUAUUGGUAAGGCUUCUGGUCAUCAAGCCUCAGAGGAAAUAGGCAGGGCUUCUGCUUCCCAAGAGAGACUCCCACCCGCCCCAUCACUUCUUUCUCUGAUGCCAUUUCUUUCCGAUUCAAAUUUCUAAACCCUUUGGAGACACGAAACAGCCUUAAAACACAAGAACAAGAACA